UACGAAGGGGGCUAGCGUUGUUCGGAAUCGCUGGGCGUAAAGCGCACGUAGGCGGAUGUGCCAGUCAGGGGUGAAAUCCCGGAGCUCAACUCCGGAACUGCCUCUGAUACAGCACGUCUUGAGUUCGAGAGAGGUGGGUGGAAUUCCUAGUGUAGAGGUGAAAUUCGUAGAUAUUAGGAAGAACACCGGUGGCGAAGGCGGCCCACUGGCUCGAUACUGACGCUGAGGUGCGAAAGCGUGGGGAGCGAACAGG
rnacentral:rRNA from 1 species